rnacentral:rRNA from 1 species
AACGAACGCUGGCGGCAUGCCUAACACAUGCAAGUCGAACGCGUGUAGCGAUACACGAGUGGCGGACGGGUGAGUAACGCGUGGGAACCUGCCCAAUGGUAGGGAAUAACUGCGGGAAACUGCAGCUAAUACCCUAUGCUCCCUACGGGGGAAAGAUUCAUCGCCAUUGGAGGGGCCCGCGUCGGAUUAGCUAGUUGGCGGGGUAAUGGCCCACCAAGGCUACGAUCCGUAGCNGGUCUGAGAGGAUGAUCAGCCACACUGGGACUGAGAUACGGCCCAGACUCCUACGGGAGGCAGCAGUGGGGAAUAUUGGACAAUGGGGGAAACCCGUGAUCCAGCAAUGCCGCGUGAGUGAAGAAGGCCUUAGGGUUGUAAAGCUCUUUCGGCGGGGACGGAUGGUGACGGUACCCGCAGAAGAAGCCCCGGCUAACUUCGUGCCA